AUCGGGUCUGUGGUUGCAAGUCGAUGCCAGUCGCAGGCGAAACGAUCCACAUAAGCGGAGCAAAGCCUCCGUGAGCAUGGUGCGGCUUAGAUGUAAGUCCUGUCGGCAGCAAUGCCGAGAGGGGCAGUAGUGGGCGGCGUAAAGCUUAGUAGCGAACCCUCCAACAGGCGAGUGUGGGGGCAAAGACCAGGUCAGCCGA
rnacentral:ncRNA from 1 species